rnacentral:rRNA from 1 species
GACGAACGCUGGCGGCGUGCUUAACACAUGCAAGUCGAACGGAAAGACCCUGCUUUUGUGGGGUGCUCGAGUGGCGAACGGGUGAGUAACACGUGAGUAACCUGCCCUUGACUUUGGGAUAACUUCAGGAAACUGGGGCUAAUACCGGAUAGGAGCUCCUGCUGCAUGGUGGGGGUUGGAAAGUUUCGGCGGUUGGGGAUGGACUCGCGGCUUAUCAGCUUGUUGGUGGGGUAGUGGCUUACCAUGGCUUUGCCGGGAAGACGGCCUGAGAGGGUGACCGGCCACAUUGGGACUGAGAUACGGCCCAGACUCCUACGGGAGGCAGCAGUGGGGAAGAUUGCACAAUGGGCGGAAGCCUGAUGCAGCAACGCCGCGUGCGGGAUGACGGCCUUCGGGUUGUAAACCGCUUUCGCCUGUGACGAAGCGUGAGUGACGGUAAUGGGUAAAGAAGCACCGGCUAACUACGUG